rnacentral:rRNA from 1 species
CCUGCCCAAGAGAUCGGGAUAACACCUGGAAAACAGGAAUGCUAAUACCGGAUAACAACAGAUGAUGCCUAUCAACUGUUUAAAAGAUGGUUCUGCUAUCACUCUUGGAUGGACCUGCGGUGCAUUAGCUAGUUGGUAGGGUAACGGCCUACCAAGGCGAUGAUGCAUAGCCGAGUUGAGAGACUGAUCGGCCACAUUGGGACUGAGACACGGCCCAAACUCCUACGGGAGGCAGCAGNG